rnacentral:rRNA from 1 species
UACGUAGGGGGCUAGCGUUGUCCGGAAUCAUUGGGCGUAAAGCGCGCGUAGGCGGCCAGAUAAGUCCGGUGUGAAAGUCACAGGCUCAACCUGUGAAUGCCGCUGGAAACUGUCUGGCUAGAGUCCGGAAGGGGCGAGUGGAAUUCCUGGUGUAGCGGUGAAAUGCGCAGAUAUCAGGAGGAACACCGAUGGCGAAGGCAGGUCUCUGGGCACUUACUGACGCUGAGGAGCGAAAGCGUGGGGAGCGAACAGG